rnacentral:lncRNA from 1 species
CGGUCCACCUCAUUUCCUGGACGAUCUCUGUUAGCCACACUUGCCAGGCUAAGCAGCUGACUGGAAUCAGGCAUUCUCGACCGCGGACGUUUUAUUGUUCGACUGCUGUCUGCCUUCCAUUCAGGAAGCUUUGCAGCCGAAAACCUCGUUGGCGUCAUCGCCCAAAUCCACGCCUAGUUCAUCGCACCUUCUCCUUUGUCCGCCAACCUCCACGAAGUGGAACAUUCGCGCGAGUCUCCAUCUGCUUCAGUUCUGUACAUCGGAAAGAACGACUCUCUCCUGUUGACCCCGAAACUGAUCGGUAGGAUAGCCAGGAUGAAUUCCUGAGGUUGAAAAUGCUGGAAGGGGCUUUUAAAGUGUGUGUUUCCCUUCUCGUCCCUGCACCGUCACCGCUGUGUGGGCCAGUUCCUGCGAGCCGCGAAUCGGCGUCUCUGGACUCUGUCUAACCCCGUGAAGAGCUUAGAAGGAAGAAGCGUCCACCAAAGUCCGAGAACAAGAAACGGUGUGAGAGGAGCGUCCAGCUCCUCAGUCCUGAGAACCUGCUGUCCUUCCUGGCGAGCUCGCGUGGCCCUAAAGCUCGCCUGACCAGCUUCUCGCUUAACCCCAGAACGAGGGCCGCGUGUCCAUGGCAUACGACUGCCGUGUUGCCAAGCUUUGACGAACACCUCCCUGCGGCAUCCCGGGAUUCAUCAUAGGCUGCUGCUGCUGCCCAUACAUCUGCGGUCCCAUGUAGGGUCCGCCAGGAGGCGGCCGCGGUUCCUCCUCCUCGUCGGAUCUGGAUCUCCCCGCGUACGCGAGGACGCCUAAGAGGAGAAUGCUCCCAACAACGCAUCCAGCGAUCAUGACAGUGGACACCCCUUCGUCUCCUUCGGUCGCGUCACUGGACGUGUCGCUGUCGCUGUCGAGGUCGUCGUCACUCGUUGCACGGACGCACCGCAGUUUCCCGUAGACUGUCUGAAGAGAAUACUCCGGGUUGCAAGUGCACGUAUAACUGUCCUUGGUAGGGACGCACAGGGAGACAGCUUCAGGUUUCCCACAGGGGUCUCCGAUGCAGCUGUUGGGUAGGGCACAGAGCUGGGUAUUGUCCGACUGGGUCCGCAGUUCAUAGCCCGAGUUGCAAAUACACGUAUACCCGUCUCCAGAGGAAUUCACCUGGCACUCGGAGACGGCGUCCGAACUCCCGCAGGGAUUCACCGAGCAGGCGUCGGCUUUGUGGCACAUUCGCGUGCCUUUCACGUAUUUAAGCAGAUAGCCGGCCUUGCAUUGACAGUCCCAUUUCCCGUCCGACACUUUCUCGCAGCGAGUCACCCCUUCAAUCGCUC